rnacentral:rRNA from 1 species
CCUACGGGUGGCAGCAGUGAGGAAUAUUGGUCAAUGGACGAGAGUCUGAACCAGCCAAGUAGCGUGAAGGAUGACUGCCCUAUGGGUUGUAAACUUCUUUUAUAUGGGAAUAAAAUGUUCCACGUGUGGGAUUUUGUAUGUCCCAUAUGAAUAAGGAUCUACUAACUCCGUGCCAGCAGCGGCGGUAAUAAGGAGGAUCCGAGCGUUAUCCGGAUUUAUUGGGUUGAAAGGGCUCGUAGGUGGAUUGUUAAGUCAGUUGUGAAAGUGUGCGGCUCAACCGUAAAAUUGCAGUUGAAACUGGCAGUCGUGAGUACAGUAGAGGUGGGCGGAAUUCGUGGUGUAGCGGUGAAAUGCUUAGAUAUCACGAAGAACUCCGAUUGCGAAGGCAGCUCACUGGACUGCAACUGACACUGAGGCUCGAAAGUGUGGGUAUCAAACAGGAUUAGAUACCCGAGUAGUC